UACGUAGGGUGCGAGCGUUGUCCGGAAUUAUUGGGCGUAAAGGGCUCGUAGGCGGUUUGUUGCGUCGGGAGUGAAAACAUCGGGCUCAACCCGGUGCUUGCUUUCGAUACGGGCAGACUUGAGGCAUGCAGGGGAGAAUGGAAUUCCUGGUGUAGCGGUGAAAUGCGCAGAUAUCAGGAGGAACACCGGUGGCGAAGGCGGUUCUCUGGGCAUGUUCUGACGCUGAGGAGCGAAAGUGUGGGGAGCGAACAGG
rnacentral:rRNA from 1 species